GGGGGUAUAGCUCAGUGGUAGAGCAUUCGACUUCAGAACGAGUGGUCACCGGUUCAAACCCGGUUGCCCCUU
rnacentral:tRNA from 1 species